UACGUAGGGGGCUAGCGUUGUCCGGAUUUAUUGGGCGUAAAGAGCGUGUAGGCGGCCAGGUAGGUCUGCUGUGAAAACUCGAGGCUUAACCUCGAGAUGUCGGCGGAAACCAUCUGGCUAGAGUCCGGAAGAGGAGAAUGGAAUUCCCGGUGUAGCGGUGAAAUGCGCAGAUAUCGGGAAGAACACCCGUGGCGAAGGCGGCUCUCUGGGACGGUACUGACGCUGAGACG
rnacentral:rRNA from 1 species